rnacentral:rRNA from 1 species
UACGGAGGGGGUUAGCGUUGUUCGGAAUGACUGGGCGUAAAGCGCGCGUAGGCGGGCUGGAAAGUUGGGGGUGAAAUCCCGGGGCUCAACCCCGGAAUGGCCUUCAAAACUCCCAGCCUAGAGUUCGAGAGAGGUGAGUGGAAUUCCGAGUGUAGAGGUGAAAUUCGUAGAUAUUCGGAGGAACACCAGUGGCGAAGGCGGCUCACUGGCCCGGUACUGACGCUGAGGCACGAAAGCGUGGGGAGCAAACAGG